CAUAUCGCGGGUGGUCUUGGAACCAAUUAUCCGCGAUAAACGGCGGAUUACUAUAUAUUGAUAUUAGAUCAUUGCCCAAACCUACUUUAACAUCCCAUUUUCCUCAGGCUUUAAAGGUGAAAAGCAUUUACAACAGGCAUGUCUAACUCAGUUUGGCUCUGGGGCCGGAUCCAGACUUUCUGUUCUCAGGUGGGCCGGAUCAGUAAAAGAAUGUCAACUCCAACUAUUUAGCUUUGUUUUUCAGUACUAUGCUUUAUCAUUCAGCCUACAUUUGCAGCCUACCCUACAUAUUAUAAUCACGGAUGACAAGGGAUCUUUUCUAAGCACAACACAUUUAUUCACAAACAAUGGAGAAAAAAAAUGAUUUUCAUGUUUGGCAUUGAAUGUGUUAACAACUGGUUUAUUUUAACAGUUGAGUGAAUGCAGUUUUACACCUGAACCAACUCACCACACUAAACAAACUCAAGUGGGAGCUAU